rnacentral:rRNA from 1 species
CACGUAGGGUGCGAGCGUUGUCCGGAAUUAUUGGGCGUAAAGAGCUCGUAGGCGGUGUGUCGCGUCGGCCGUGAAAACCUGCAGCUUAACUGUGGGCUUGCGGUCGAUACGGGCAUCACUGGAGUUCGGCAGGGGAGACUGGAAUUCCUGGUGUAGCGGUGAAAUGCGCAGAUAUCAGGAGGAACACCGGUGGCGAAGGCGGAUCUCUGGGCCUUACCUGACGCUGAGGUGCGAAAGCGUGGGGAGCAAACAGG